UUGUCUCUUAUUCUGCCAGAACUGGGCUUUGUUAGUGCUUCUCAAACCCUAGUGUACUUACUAAAGUCCUGCGGGAUCUCGUUAAAAUGCAGACUUUCAUUCAGCACUGUCCGUGGGGCCCGGAUUUGUGGGCGAUGCCUCACUUCUCACUGAGCGGCAAGGGCUGAGUGCCCCUUGAGACUCUGCCAGCCACCCAGACGUCGGUUUCCCCAACAGCCCUACGUUUGAGAUUUCCUGAACACUACCCAGUGCAACUUCCUCUUCUUUUUUGCUAGAGUUUGUCUUUUUUAGUCAGAAUUGGCAGGAAAGGAUUUCCUGAGAGUGGAGGCUGGAAGGCAAAGGGAAAUUACUGCCUUGAGGCAGCCAUUUCUUCAAUCAGUACGCAGCCUAAGCCAGGAUAGCAGAGGGAGUUUGGUCUGCCGGACUUUAAUCUGCACAUUGGAGGCAUGGCACUAUAACUCGGUCUGAUUCUCAUCUAAAAGCCCAGUUGGUUGUUAUUGUUUGGUUUUAGACUUAUGUCCCGUAAGAGUUUGCGUAGGCCUCACCCCCGAGAGGCCUCUCCAUCUUGUCUUGUGCCGACUCUCCAUCUUCUACGACUCGCCUUGGCCUCCCGUUCACUGCUUGUCUCCACUCUCACACUGCUCUUGUUGGCUCUGGCCAACUGCUGAGGAAGACAGGAUCGGAGCAUUCACAGACUUUGAAUAUGGGCAGACAGUUCAAACACCAAGCCAAUACCCUCAGCAUCUGUCUCCUUGGAAAGCACUUGAGAUUUUACAACACAGAGAGAAGAGGGACAGAAACUGUUCUUAGAAGGCUUGCCAUCAAGAAGGGUAGCAGACUUGUAUGUGCAUAACUCCAGAAACAAGAGGGCAGCAAUGAAGGCAUAUAGAGGAAGAGAGAAGGCAAAGGGGGCAUCAGCCGGGCCAGGCAGGACUGCCUGCUGGAACACAGGGUUUGCCCUGAACUUGCAGGGGGCCCAGGGAGACAACCGAAAAGCAAUUAAGUUUAGGACAGAGUGAGAUGCAGGGGAGUGCAUCUCUUCAAGGCAGAAUGAUGUGCAGAGAAGAGCACGGCUUUUCUGCGAGGGACUCCAGGGCAGAUGGAACAGAGGGUUUCCUGCGAUGUGCAAUGGGUCAUUCGAUUGGAAGACAGGAUGGACUUAGACGGUGAACUGCUCAGACCCAAGAGUUCAGUAUUCAGUCCCUGUGUUACUACUGCAGACAGACACUUUUGUUUAUCUCCCCGGCUGGUAUUACAUCCUCUUUUUUUCUUUGCUAAAAAGCCAUAAUGAUCAGAACUUUGCAUUUUACGUACUAUUGGGCCAUAUAAAAAUGGUUUUGUAGUUGUUUGGCUA